rnacentral:rRNA from 1 species
UACGAAGGGGGCUAGCGUUGCUCGGAAUCACUGGGCGUAAAGGGUGCGUAGGCGGGUCUUUAAGUCAGGGGUGAAAUCCUGGAGCUCAACUCCAGAACUGCCUUUGAUACUGAAGAUCUUGAGUUCGGAGAGGUGAGUGGAACUGCGAGUGUAGAGGUGAAAUUCGUAGAUAUUCGCAAGAACACCAGUGGCGAAGGCGGCUCACUGGCCCGAUACUGACGCUGAGGCACGAAGCGUGGGAGCAACAGGAUUAGA